rnacentral:lncRNA from 1 species
UCAAUAAAUUCUAAUAUAGAAAGCAAUAUAUGUGGUAUGGAAAUACUUGAAUGAUAUAAAAUUAAUUGCUUGUGAAUUUCUUUGCUUUUGUUUUUUGUGGUGAUAAUUAAACAGUAUAGAGCUGAGUCAUACAAAAGAUUUGUGACGAAGAAUUAUGUUAUCUAGUUCUUAAUGUUUUCAUUUUCAAUUAUGCUAGGUACAUAGAUUUGAAGGUACGCACAACACGAUUACCUAAAGAAGGAUAUUGCUCAAAUGUUACAGCCUAGCUCGCACGCUUGCAGAAUCCUCUAGAUAGGUUGUGAAGUGUAAAAAUUGAUGCUCGCACAUCAAGAAAAGAGCUUUUCAAGCAGAAUCAAAAUAUUGGAAUGAACAUACCUCAAGUGAAUCAAGAUGUUUGAAAGCAUCAAUAAAGUAAAGCAAAACUGAAACCCAAUAAUAAAUGAGUUUUAUUUUUUUCGCUAAUUCAUGAACAAAUUCUAAGAAAAUUUAGGGCUUCUUGUCAUUGAAGUGGUACCUUUAACCAACUCAAAUCCCAUGAAACACUACCAACUUCCGUAAUUCGAUAAAACAUUGAGCACAAAUUGCAAAAUUAAUAAGCACAAACAAAAAGCACUAGAUCUAGCACCUUGAAUUUUUCUACAGAACAAGUGUAUCUAAAAAAAACUCUUUUCAGUUUGGUAGGAGGAGACGCUGCACCAAGGUGGCAAUUGUCGCUGCUGAAGUGGAAGUUGCCACCGCUGCUAACCCUGAAAUUUUGGAAAACAUCACUCCAUAACCAAAUUUUGAAGAUAUCUUGAAAAUGAAAAUCAAAUCUACAAAAGAAGUUUUCAGAUCUAAAAACAAAGAUAAAACCAAAGACAAAAUGAAUGUUCUAGAAUGAGAAAAAGCGAAAGGAACACUUAUUCUCUUUUAAUCA